GGUUUGUGGCUCAGUGGUAAAGUGCUUGUCUAGCAUGCAUGAGGCACUGGGUUCGAUUCUCAGCACCA
rnacentral:tRNA from 1 species